rnacentral:rRNA from 1 species
GGCUCAGAUUGAACGCUGGCGGCAGGCCUAACACAUGCAAGUCGAACGGUAACAGGAAGAAGCUUGCUUCUUUGCUGACGAGUGGCGGACGGGUGAGUAAUGUCUGGGAAACUGCCUGAUGGAGGGGGAUAACUACUGGAAACGGUAGCUAAUACCGCAUAACGUCGCAAGACCAAAGAGGGGGACCUUCGGGCCUCUUGCCAUCGGAUGUGCCCAGAUGGGAUUAGCUUGUUGGUGGGGUAACGGCUCACCAAGGCGACGAUCCCUAGCUGGUCUGAGAGGAUGACCAGCCACACUGGAACUGAGACACGGUCCAGACUCCUACGGGAGGCAGCAGUGGGGAAUAUUGCACAAUGGGCGCAAGCCUGAUGCAGCCAUGCCGCGUGUAUGAAGAAGGCCUUCGGGUUGUAAAGUACUUUCAGCGGGGAGGAAGGCGAUAAGGUUAAUAACCUUGUCGAUUGACGUACCCGCAGAAGAAGCCGGUACUCG